ACGGAAGGCAGCAGUGGGGAAUAUUGCACAAUGGGGGAAACCCUGAUGCAGCGACGCCGCGUGAAGGAAGAAGUAUCUCGGUAUGUAAACUUCUAUCAGCAGGGAAGAUAGUGACGGUACCUGACUAAGAAGCCCCGGCUAACUACGUGCCAGCAGCCGCGGUAAUACGUAGGGGGCAAGCGUUAUCCGGAUUUACUGGGUGUAAAGGGAGCGUAGACGGUGUGGCAAGUCUGAUGUGAAAGGCAUGGGCUCAACCUGUGGACUGCAUUGGAAACUGUCAUACUUGAGUGCCGGAGGGGUAAGCGGAAUUCCUAGUGUAGCGGUGAAAUGCGUAGAUAUUAGGAGGAACACCAGUGGCGAAGGCGGCUUACUGGACAGUAACUGACGUUGAGGCUCGAAAGCGUGGGGAGCAAACAGGAUUAGAUACCCUGAUA
rnacentral:rRNA from 1 species